rnacentral:rRNA from 1 species
UACAGAGGUCUCAAGCGUUGUUCGGAUUCAUUGGGCGUAAAGGGCGCGUAGGCUGCGGGGCAAGUCGGGUGUGAAAUCUCAGAGCUCAACUCUGAAACUGCACCUCGAUAGCUGCUUUGCUCGAGGACUGGAGAGGAGAUUGGAAUUCACGGUGUAGCAGUGAAAUGCGUAGAUAUCGUGAGGAAGACCAGUGGCGAAGGCGGAUCUCUGGACAGUUCCUGACGCUGAGGCGCGAAGGCCAGGGGAGCAAACGGG